AUCCUUUCUGGUUCAUAAAGCAUGAUGAUUGGGUGUUCACGCUACUGCGUGAUAUGUGCCGCCCACUAGACCUUGUUACAACGUGGGCACAAUACCUGCCUGACG